GAGCUCUGAGCUAAAAAGAGCCACUGAGG
rnacentral:piRNA from 1 species